GUUGAUGGAAGCUUACUGACUGGUCAAGGCAGUGCAAGAAGUUUAACCUGUCUGGAAAUAUGGGGACAAGAACUGGAAAGGGCAGUCUGUGCAUGAAGAUUCCAGGAGAAGCCUGAUGAUGGAAAACCUUAAAAUCACAUCGAGGAUCAGUACAAAGUAGCUGCAUGAAGAAUGGAUGGGAGAAUAAGAAGCUAUGGCAAUAACGACAGUUAGAAUAUAUCAAUGGGCAUGGAGGAGGAGGCUGUUGACCUGGGGGGAGUACCAAUAAAGUUGGACUAUGCAGAGGAAAGAACUCGGGGAUUUUAUAAAGUUAGAAUUGUCAGGACUUUGUCAUAAUUUCUUUCUUUUCUUUUCUUUUUUUUUUUUUUUGUAUUUUUAGUACAGAUGGGGUUUCACCAUGUUCGCCAGGAUGGUCUCGAUCUCCUGACCUCGUGAUCUGUCCACCUCUGCCUCCCAAAGUGCUGAGAUUACAGGUGUGAGCCACCACUCCCAGCCUUUGUCAUCAUUUCAGAUAGGGUGAAGGAAUGGUUUAA
rnacentral:lncRNA from 1 species